CGUCUUCACAACUCGGAGACAAAUUGCAGGCGCUAUGAACCGGAGCAAGGCGGUGACCUCCUAUUUGCUCGGAGCAAUAUCUGCAAGUCCAGAUUUUCACGAUGUUGAUAAAGACGACAUUGUGUCCGCCUGUAAGAUAUGAGACGGUACGCAGGACAGUACGAAGCCAGAAAACUCAUUGCGGGCGGAAGCUGCGGUUCAGCUCGAGCGAGAAGAAAGAAGCUGCUGGAAUCGAGACAGAGCGUGCUAGCGGAUGACGAGGUGGAACUCUGUAAGUCGGCCUCAUGCUUGACGAA